rnacentral:rRNA from 1 species
GACGAACGCUGGCGGCGUGCUUAACACAUGCAAGUCGAACGGAGCGAAUGAAAGCUUGCUUUUAUGAGCUUAGUGGCAAACGGGUGAGUAACACGUAGACAACCUGCCGACAGGAUGGGGACAACAUUCCGAAAGGAAUGCUAAUACCGAAUGAAGCGGAGGAGAGGCGUCUCUCCUCCGUGAAAGAUGGCCUCUGAAUAUGCUAUCACCUGUCGAUGGGUCUGCGUCUGAUUAGCUAGUUGGUGAGGUAACGGCUCACCAAGGCGACGAUCAGUAGCCGGUCUGAGAGGAUGAACGGCCACAUUGGGACUGAGACACGGCCCAGACUCCUACGGGAGGCAGCAGUGGGGAAUCUUCCGCAAUGGGCGCAAGCCUGACGGAGCAACGCCGCGUGAGUGAAGAAGGUCUUCGGAUCGUAAAGCUCUGUUGAUGGGGACGAACGUACGGAGUGCGAAUAGUGCUCUGUAAUGACGGACCAUCGAGGAGCC